rnacentral:lncRNA from 1 species
GUCAUGGGUCAGGUUGCACAGCUGGACUGGAAGGGAGAGUGAGGCUGCCAUUGGUGCCCAUUUGACUGUCAGAGACACUGAGAUGAGGAAACUGAAACUGAGAAAAGCUAAGGAACUUGCUCAUAUGCUGGAUGAACUGGGAUUCCAGUGCAGGCUGAGUGACCCAGGGCCUGAGCUUCACACAAGGCUUGAAGAGGAAGCUUAUUUAUUUGCAUCAUUCAUGCAACAAACCUUCAGUGAAUAUCUGCUGACUGUCAGUCUACCCUUGGUACUAGAGCAUGAAGGAAAAAUUGACACAGACACUGCCC